rnacentral:rRNA from 1 species
UUUUUGGAGAGUUUGAUCCUGGCUCAGGACGAACGCUGGCGGCGUGCCUAAUACAUGCAAGUCGAGCGAAUCUGAUAGGAGCUUGCUCCUUCUCAGAUUAGCGGCGGACGGGUGAGUAACACGUGGGUAACCUGCCUGUAAGACUGGGAUAACUCCGGGAAACCGGGGCUAAUACCGGAUAACUUUUUCCUUCGCAUGAAGGAGAAUUGAAAGGUGGCACUAGCUACCACUUACAGAUGGACCCGCGGCGCAUUAGCUAGUUGGUGAGGUAACGGCUCACCAAGGCGACGAUGCGUAGCCGACUUGAGAGGGUGAUCGGCCACACUGGGACUGAGACACGGCCCAGACUCCUAC